rnacentral:rRNA from 2 species
CCAAUAGCGUAUAUUAAAGUUGUUGCAGUUAAAAAGCUCGUAGUUGAAUUUCGGGAUUAAUUUAUUGGUCGUGCUAUUGUACGUACUGGUAUUAUUGAUUCCUACCUUCUGACGAACCACGAUGUCAUUAAUUUGGUGUCAUGGGGAAUCAGGACUGUUACUUUGAAAAAAUUAGAGUGUUUAAAGCAGGCUCACGCUUGAAUACAUUAGCAUGGAAUAACGAAAUAGGACGUUUGAUUCUAUUUUGUUGGUUUCUAGGAUCGACGUAAUGAUUAAUAGGGAUAGUUGGGGGCAUUAGUAUUCAAUUGUCAGAGGUGAAAUUCUUGGAUUUAUUGAAGACUAACUACUGCGAAAGCAUUUGCCAAGGAUGUUUUCAUUAAUCAAGAACGAAAGUUAGGGGAUCGAAGACGAUCAGAUACCGUCGUAGUCUUAACCAUAAACUAUGCCGACUAGGGAUCGGAUGAUGUUAAUUUUUUAAUGACUCAUUCGGCGCCUUACG